UACGAAGGGGGCUAGCGUUGCCGUACGGAAUCACUGGGCGUAAAGGGUGCGUAGGCGGGUCUUUAAGUCAGAGGUGAAAUCCUGGAGCUCAACUCCAGAACUGCCUUUGAUACUGAGGAUCUUGAGUUCGGGAGAGGUGAGUGGAACUGCGAGUGUAGAGGUGAAAUUCGUAGAUAUUCGCAAGAACACCAGUGGCGAAGGCGGCUCACUGGCCCGGUACUGACGCUGAGGUGCGAAAGCGUGGGGAGCAAACAGG
rnacentral:rRNA from 1 species